AGUGAACGCUGGCGGUAGGCCUAACACAUGCAAGUCGAACGGCAGCACAGUAAGAGCUUGCUCUUACGGGUGGCGAGUGGCGGACGGGUGAGGAAUACAUCGGAAUCUACUUUUUCGUGGGGUAUCACGUAGGGAAACUUACGCUAAUACCGCAUACGACCUACGGGUGAAAGCAGGGGAUCUUCGGACCUUGCGCGAUUGAAUGAGCCGAUGUCGGAUUAGCUAGUUGGCGGGGUAAAGGCCCACCAAGGCGACGAUCCGUAGCUGGUCUGAGAGGAUGAUCAGCCACACUGGAACUGAGACACGGUCCAGACUCCUACGGGAGGCAGCAGUGGGGAAUAUUGGACAAUGGGCGAAAGCCUGAUCCAGCCAUACCGCGUGGGUGAAGAAGGCCUUCGGGUUGUAAAGCACUUUUGUUGGGAAAGAAAAGCAGCAGGUUAAUACCACGCUGUUCUGACGGUACCAAAAGAAUAAGCACCGGCUAAAUUCGUG
rnacentral:rRNA from 1 species